UUGAACGCUGGCGGCAGGCCUAACACAUGCAAGUCGAGCGGUAGCACAGAGAGCUUGCUCUCGGGUGACGAGCGGCGGACGGGUGAGUAAUGUCUGGGAAACUGCCUGAUGGAGGGGGAUAACUACUGGAAACGGUAGCUAAUACCGCAUAACGUCGCAAGACCAAAGUGGGGGACCUUCGGGCCUCAUGCCAUCAGAUGUGCCCAGAUGGGAUUAGCUAGUAGGUGGGGUAACGGCUCACCUAGGCGACGAUCCCUAGCUGGUCUGAGAGGAUGACCAGCCACACUGGAACUGAGACACGGUCCAGACUCCUACGGGAGGCAGCAGUGGGGAAUAUUGCACAAUGGGCGCAAGCCUGAUGCAGCCAUGCCGCGUGUGUGAAGAAGGCCUUCGGGUUGUAAAGCACUUUCAGCGGGGAGGAAGGCGUUAAGGUUAAU
rnacentral:rRNA from 1 species